UUAAAUGUUGUCAAUCAUAUUUAAAUUAGAUUUUUUUGUUCAUUGAACUAGACGGAAGAGUGAAUUUACUAAAUAAAUAUGCCCAAAUUAACGUACCUACUUGUUCUGAUAGCAGUUAUCGCCAUCGUAUCGGCUCGUCCUUAUCCACAAGGCGUGACCGUCGUGGAGAAUGAAAAUGGAGUUGCAGUUGUCGAUGGAAACGGACCAG